AUGUCUUCAGAAACGGAAUCCCGUAGAAAUGAUACAAAAGAUGAUCUUGGUAAUUCAAAUGUGCCUGAUUCUUCUCUCCCUGCUGAAAGCAAAGCAACUGGCCCUGGGUUUGUUCCUCCACCUCUUCCUCCAGUUGGAGGUCAGCCGUUUCUAAUGUAUCCGAGGAGCCAGGUCCUGAGGAGAGGACCUCCUUUUCCUCCACCUCCUCCAGGAAACAUGUAUGGAGCACCUCGAGAUUAUUUUCCACCAAGGGAUUUCUCUGGCCCACCGCCUCCAUUCCCAAUGAGAAAUGUCUAUCCACGGGGUUUUCCUCAUUAUCUUCCCCCAAGAGCUGGAUUUUUCCCCCCACCCCCACAUUCUGAAAGUAGAAGUGAGUUCCCUUCAGGGUCGAUUCCGCCUUCAAAUGAGCCUGCUGCUGAACAUCCAGAGCCACAACAAGAAACCUGACAAUAUUUUUGAUCUCUCUUCAAAAGUAAUUUUAUCUCUCAUUUUCAGUUUAAGUAACUGCUGUUACUUAAGUGAUUAUUCUUUUGCUCAAAUUGAAGCUUAAUGGAAUUAUAAUUCUCAGGAUAGUAUUUUGUAAAUAAAGAUGAUUUAAAUAUGAAUUUUAUGAGUAAAUUAUUUCCAUUUUAUUUUAUUCUAAGUAGUAUAACUAUUUUAAUUUGAUUAUCUGGUCCACUAUUACAUAAACAAUAAUGGGAGUUUUAUAUAUGUAAUCUUUCAGUUGGGAAUAUUUAAAAUUGCAAACAAAGGCUACCUUUAUGCCAAGAAAUGUAUUUGCUAUGGUUGUACACAAAUAUGAAAGUAACUUUAUGCCUAAAUAAAUAAAUUUUAAUUGAUUUAAAGUCUUUUUUUGCAUUGACAAUAAAACCAGCUAGUUUUCCAUAAAUAUGGCUUCAUAAAUUAGUUUCUUUGUACCAAUAACUUUGAAGUUCAAAACUAAAGCUUUUUGUGGUGUUGAUUUGAUUAUCUUACCAAAAAUUUGUC
rnacentral:lncRNA from 1 species